GAGUCAGAUCAAUAAUGUGAUGGUAAGGGAUGACAUCGCUACGACUGGUGGGGAUACGUAACCAAACAAACGAUGAAUGGUAAUUCAAAAGCUCAGCAGGACUGAGUUUGUGAAGCGACGCGACAGGCAACGCAGGAGCGGUACCAGGGCAGCACUGGAGCGACGUGAAAUAAAUAGCAUUGAACAAUCAGAGAAAAUGGUCCAGCAGGGCGAAGCAGAACCCAGAAUGACGGAGAAAACAAUAACAUACUAGUUGAAAAAAUACCCAGAGCUUUAUGAUAAAGACCAUCACAAUUAUACAGAUUUGAAAGAUAAUAUAUGGGAGUCCAUUUCGAAGGAAGUGGAUAAGCCUGCUCUCUGUUCUCUGGACAGUCUAUUUUUAACACAGCCCUGUGUCAGCAGCACGGAGUUCAGUGAUGAAGCAUGAGCGAUCUGGCCAUUGCCAUGGCAACCUCAUCUCAAAUAGUACUCAUCGUUGUUUUAUUUGUUCCCCCCCCCCUUUUCCCAA